AUGAACGCUGGCGGCGUGCCUAAUACAUGCAAGUCGAGCGAACAGACGAGGAGCUUGCUCCUCUGACGUUAGCGGCGGACGGGUGAGUAACACGUGGAUAACCUACCUAUAAGACUGGGAUAACUUCGGGAAACCGGAGCUAAUACCGGAUAAUAUAUUGAACCGCAUGGUUCAAUAGUGAAAGACGGAUUUGCUGUCACUUAUAGAUGGAUCCGCGCCGCAUUAGCUAGUUGGUAAGGUAACGGCUUACCAAGGCAACGAUGCGUAGCCGACCUGAGAGGGUGAUCGGCCACACUGGAACUGAGACACGGUCCAGACUCCUACGGGAGGCAGCAGUAGGGAAUCUUCCGCAAAGGGCGAAAGCCUGACGGAGCAACGCCGCGUGAGUGAUGAAGGUCUUCGGAUCGUAAAACUCUGUUAUUAGGGAAGAACAAAUGUGUAAGUAACUAUGCACGUCUUGACGGUACCUAAUCAGAAAGCCACGGCUAACUACGUG
rnacentral:rRNA from 1 species